GGAAGUUCUAAACAAAAAACUAGAGAGGGCCUAGAGAUGGCAAGUUGAAACAGGAAAUUCUAAACGAAAAACUAAAGACGGCUAUUUUGAAAAUUAGAGACGGCCGAGGGACGACAAUAAAAUUUUAGGCGGAAAAAAAAGCAACAGAUUAGAGACAGUUUGGCCCUAAUCCUUUCUAAUUUUAAAUUUUAAUUAGCGACGGCUAAUACCGUCUCUAAUCCUUCCCUAAUAAUUAGAGACGGAUAUGAAGACCGUCUCUAAAAAAUCAACUAGGCGGGGAAGGAUUAAAGACGGCCAAAAACCGUCGCCAAUCAUCAAUUAGCGACAGUUUUUGAUGAUUAGAGACGGUUUCUAGUCGUCGUUGAAAGUCAAUAAUCUGGUAGUGGUGCUCACAGCUGGCGGGUACCUGUACAAUCGAAAUCCGACGCUUCUGUUAUCGAGAAGAUCUUCUGUAGAAGCCUUGCUUGAAAAAACACCUGAAUAUAUACACGAGGUUUAAGGUGUUUGGCAGCGUAUGCUACCCGCCUACCCGUGCUUGAGGAUGUACCGAAAGAAUAAGUUGGACUCCAAAUCUGGAUCCAAACCCAGACUAUUAACUGGCCGGGUUUGGACCAGGACCCAAACCUCCAGG
rnacentral:lncRNA from 1 species